AGGUUGAGAAUUUAAUGAUAAUUAUUAUUUUUAAACAUAUAUACAUCACCAUCUUUGUACAAACCUCUUAUCAUUAUUAAAACGUGUCUGUCCUAGGUCACUUAAAGGUAUUGUGUUUUAAAAGACAGCUAAGUUAAUGGUAAAGAUAAAGAUUUUUGCUCCAUGAAUGGAAAUUGUAAUACAGGUAAUAUACUUUACCAAGCAGAGGUCACCCCGACAUCCUCAAAAUAAACAAACAUCAGUCUAUGUAACACAGAAUUUAACUCACAAUAUAGGAACCAUGUAUAUGUAUACAUAUAUAUUUCUUAGUUGCCCAGCCAGAAUAAUUAAUCAUCAUUUAAGGAGGUAAGGAGACAAAGGAAGUUGUCAUCAAACAAGGUUUGAUUAAUUCUCACCCACAUCAGCUUUGUUGCCUCAGUCCCACCCUAUCACCUGAUGCAGAGCAGCAGUGAUGCAGACCAAAUGAAUCAAUCAGUGACUGUUGAAA